rnacentral:lncRNA from 1 species
UGCUUUGCCUAGUUAAUGUUGCCACACCUCUGAGAGAGAGAGAGAGAGAGAGAGAGAGAGAGAGAGAGCUGCAUUUUAGCAAUCCAUGGGGGUCUAUGAGAUCUUCAUUUCCUAAGCCAUCUGAGAUAUAGAUAGAUGCGGUUUUGCUGGGAAGAGAGAGGGAGAUGGGUAUCGAUGAUCUAUGGUUUACCAGGGAGAGAGAGUAGAGAGAAAGGGAAGCUUGGCACCUCACGGUGUUUAAAGAGAGAGGCAUUGGUUUAGCAGGAGAGAGAGAGAGUUUGAGAGGGGUAAAGAUGACUGGUUUGGGAGAGAGUGAGUGAUGUAUUAGAGAUAAAGAGAAUAAGAGAGGGAGAGAGGUAUUGCAUCGAUAAAUUAGAUUAAGAGAGAUAGAGAGAGAGUGGCCACUGGUUUGCUGGUUUGGGGGAGAGAGGAGAGAGCUG